rnacentral:sRNA from 1 species
AUCUUUUCCGGCGCUGGCUCCUCUCGGUCAGUGCGGUUUCGCCUUUAUGGUGGUGGAGUCCGCCCAGGCUGUGGGACUAUCAGUCCUCCCUGUGCGGCCAGUUCGGAGAGGCUGCACGCUCUCUCGGCUCACUGCAACCUCUGCAACCUCUGCCUCCAGGGUCAAGCAGUUCUCCUGCCUCAGCCUUCCGAGUACCUGGGAUUACAGGACCGCAAAUAACCCUGUACAAAGAGGAAUGGAGAUUGCCUCUAUCCAGCUAGAUUCAUAAGCUGGCCUGAGGUGAUCUUGGCAUCAAGGAAGGGAUGCACAUCAUCACACCAUCAGCUUCAGAGCAUGGCAGCCAUUUAUUUGUCCCGUGGGUUUUUUUCCAGGGAACCAAUCUGCCCUUUUGAAGAAAAGACAAAGGUAGAAAGGAUGGUGGAGGACUCCCUGGCAAAUGGUUAUCAGUGAAUAUUGGUGGAAGUGUUCAUUGGCUCAAACCAGCAUGUGUGUGAUGACAUAGGAUUCAGUGACGUUUGAUGAUGUGGCUGUGGACUUCACCCCAGAGGAGUGGGC